UCUCAAAUCCUGGCUACGCCCCUGGAGCACAUCCAUUGGAGUGGUCCUACUAGCUAGCACGGUGCACUGGACACAAUGGACCAACACUCUGACUCAGGGGAAAGGUACAGGGACACCUCAACGAAUUGUGUAACUCUGAUGUCACUCAGUCCAGUGUCUGCUGUGUCAGCAAGUACCGUUUCAGCUCAGAUUGAGAACAUACUCCAUGACUCUGUGCACGACACGCUACGUGGGUGAACUGCAACAAGUCACAAACGUUGGAUCUUUUAGCCUCGAUCUCAGGCCGCACUGAAGAUGAGGUUGAUGAGGCCAUACCACUAUCUAUGACGAGGCCUAGCAUAUGCCAUUACCUACUCAGCGUGAAUGUGAUCUGCUGCCAGCAUGUGCCAGUCCAGUGGCUGUGCUAUAGGAUAAGAAUGGAUGAAUGCAUGAAAGGAUGGAGGUGAGGGGAGAUGCUUUGUAGAGACGGCACCUGUUGUAGGCUACUGAUAAUAAUCACGAGGUUCAUUGUUUUGUUCAUAUUUCCCGAUAGUAUUGCUUGCCCAUGUGUUAGACCUUAUUGGUGGAGGGAGGUCAAUAUUGAGCAACCAUACGCUAGCUGAGUUGGCAUGGGCUCAGAGAUUUCAUUUGUCAUGGUAUUUUAAACUACAGUAUGGUGUAAUUGUUUAUCCAUGCAUGUAUGGACAUGUGGCAGUACUAUUGGAGGUGACCUUUCACUAAUUAUGACCUUUCAAUGACAUUCUACCAACUUGCUUUGUUUACUGUGAAAGGGGUGGAAUGUGACACCUCUCUGAAAAGGGGGAGGAUCUGAGCAAUGAUUAUGUUUACUGGGAAACAAGGCUGAAAGGGGCGAAAUUUCCUCUUUUAUGUGUGGUCCCACUGUGUACACUGUAGCUAAGUGGUUGACUUAUAAUAAGGUUUGUAUUUUAAUUGAAGUGAAUGUGGUCUGUCUAGUCAUCAAGACUGUGGAAUGUGGGGGGAUGAGUCGUGGUAGGCUUAAGCUCUCAAUGACUAAUAAUACCCAUAUCAUCACACCCUCACACCCUCACACAAGACA